rnacentral:rRNA from 1 species
GACGAACGCUGGCGGCGUGCUUAACACAUGCAAGUCGAACGGAAAGGCCCUGCUUUUGUGGGGUGCUCGAGUGGCGAACGGGUGAGUAACACGUGAGUAACCUGCCCUUGACUUUGGGAUAACUUCAGGAAACUGGGGCUAAUACCGGAUAGGAGCUCCUGCUGCAUGGUGGUGGUUGGAAAGUUUCGGCGGUUGGGGAUGGACUCGCGGCUUAUCAGCUUGUUGGUGGGGUAGUGGCUUACCAAGGCUUUGACGGGUAGCCGGCCUGAGAGGGUGACCGGCCACAUUGGGACUGAGAUACGGCCCAGACUCGUACGGGAGGCAGCAGUGGGGAAUAUUGCACAAUGGGCGGACGCCUGAUGCAGCAACGCCGCGUGCGGGAUGACGGCCUUCGGGUUGUAAACCGCUUUCGCCUGUGACGAAGCGUGAGUGACGGUAAUGGGUAAAGAAGCACCGGCUAACUACGUG